GCUGAUGUAGCUCAGUCGGUAGAGCAACUGAUUCGUAAUCAGUAGGUCGCGGGUUCGAUUCCCGCCAUUAGCUCCA
rnacentral:tRNA from 1 species